rnacentral:tRNA from 1 species
GGCCGGUUGGAGUAGCUGGUUAUCUCGUAUCGUUAACAGGUCAUGUAUUAAACAUUAUACAUGUCUUCAUCCGAUAAGGUCGCCGGAUCGAGCCCGGCACUGGUCA